UGAUGAAUGUGUAACAGAUAUAUUACAGAAAUACAGCAUAGGACACUAUCAGAAUGUAGCUUAUUUUAUCAUUUACAAAAUGAAAUAUAUGCACUGUGAGUAAACUUCUCUUGUUCCUGGAUAAAAACUUGGGCAAGUCCCAUAUAUGUCUACGUCUCAUGUUUAGCUAAUAGUCUGUUUUAUGGUCACUGUAAUUUUCAAGUACAAUAUAGAUCUAAUUCAAAAAUCAGAAAUCCAGUCCUGAAUAAUAAUGCAAAUUACCAACAUGACUUAGCAUUAAAUCAUCUCCACCCAAGGUCUUAGCAAUGGGACAGAAUAUGGUUAUUUUCUCAUUCCAUACCUGACACCAGCUGUUACACGGGAUUUCUGACCCCUGCAGUUAUUGGUUUAUAAGAUAGAGAGGACUCAGGGGAAGGAGACCUUCUGCCAAAGUAGGAUGCAGAUGAAAUCUACUUUUGCAGGAACUUUCAUGGGUUCCUCAAAGAUUUCUAUUUAUAGUUCUGAAUGUUUAUGGCAAACACUUCUCUUUGGCAGAUGUUGCUUGUACAUCUUUCCUCAGUCCCUAGAAAUUGCCUCUGGGGUCAUUCUGUCCCUCUAGGCGAUGCUAUCAUAUAGGACCCCAGAUGGCUGCAGUCUGGCUUUUCCUUAUGAAUGACACACCUGCAGUCAUGUGAAACUCUCAAAUAUUAUGUGUUCUAGAAACCUUUAGGAGUUCAGGUCUAUCUCAGUGCAGGAACAACUCUCUUGAUCCCUUGCUUUGACACUAAAGCUGUAUACCAAUUGCUAGAUUUCUCAAGAAGCAGGGCAGUCAGAGCCCAGUCCAACAUGCCAUUCCACCAACUACAGGAUUCAUGGGUUAAGCCUCAAUGUAUCCUUGUUAAAGUGAAGAGAUAGAUAAUCCUUACUUGUCCCCACUUGCGGAAGUGGGACUCAUACCUCUUCAGCAGCUCUCUACCCAAAUACUCUACACAAACUUUGUUCUAAUCCAUUUUUUAAAGAUUUAUUUAUUUAUUCAUGACGGGGUGGGGGGGGCACAGACACAGGCAGAGGGAGAAGCAGGCUCCAGGCAGAGAGUCCGACAUGGGACUCAAUCCCAGGUCUCCAGGAUCACACCCCAGGUUGAAGGCAACGGUAAACCACUGGGCCACCGGGGCUGCCCUGUUCUAAUCCAUUUUACAUACUUCUUGGAUGUCAAAAAUCACCCCUACCCAGUUCUCCAGGGGUGAUGGUAAAUGAAGAAGAACACAUUUUAGUUAUUAUAGAGACUUAAAAAUGUUGCAGUUAUUUCAUUCCCGUGGUAUCAGAAAGGCUAAAUGCCCUGAAAUGUAUAAGACAGUUUCAUUGCUUCCUACAAAGGUACUACUAAUAGAAAAAGAAAACUGAUUAGUUUUUGGUCAUUUUCCUUGAGCAUCUUGUUAUUUUAUAGCUAUACAUCUUGCCGCCUCAGUACAAAUUUUACACUUUACAACCAAAUGUAUAUUUCUAAGAGAAAUAAAAAAUGUUCUGGGGCUUUGGGGUGGUAGAGAGAGCACAUCCAGUUGGGGAAACUAAGGAAGGCUUCAUAGAAAUGACUUGAACUGAAAGAUGUUGACAGGUACAAAUAUUUACAAGUAUAAGCUAUUUAUGCUGAACUCAGUUUUUGUAACUUAACUUCAAAAACCUAGAUAAAACAUUCAUUUACAUAAAUUUCUAAAGCGAAGAUACUCUUGAGAUUAAUAGUUUAUGGGUAUAAAAAAGACCCCUGCAAAGAGCUGUUUUAUUGCCUAGAUUUAUACUACUAUGCUCAUUAGGUAAUCUCUAUACAUACAUAGUUGUCUGAAAACUAUGAUUCACUCCCAGCUUUGUUCUUCAUGAGAUUAGAAAAACUUUAGGGUCAUUUUGAAUGCAGAAUAUCAUUCUAUUUCCAUAACUAUAGGCUCUGUAUAAUACUAGAUGUAUUUCUGCAAGCACUGAAAAUAAAUCUUUCGGUUUAGAAUUUCCAUUCGGCAUUAUUUGCACUAGACCUUUUAUGAACUUAGACAAUUUAAUCAUGCCUUGUAUUUGCAUCUCUUUUCUUUCUCCUGGACUUUAUUUUCCACACACCAGCCCCCCUGUUACCAACUCCUUGACAAUGCUUUUAAGAUCGUGUUUUCUUCUUUCUCCAGCCUCAUCUGUAACUCCAUACUUCAGUCCCCAACAUUUCUCUUCCAUAUAUGAUAAUCUAUUUAGAGUUUCCCACAAGAAAGAUGUUCCCUAUCUGCAUUUGUUAUAAGCAUGAUCACUUCUUCCAUCCCUUGUACCUCCAUCUUUCAGUUGUUUAGGUAUCUCCUUCUCUUAGAUGAUUCCCAUGAUUCUCCUACCCCUAAGCCUCAUACUGUGUUAAGCACUCCCCUGAACAACUUUUAAAGUUUUACAAUCGGAUAUUUAUUGUAUGUGCCCCCUAAUUGACCUUUAAGUUCCUUAAAGGAAAGAAAAAUAUGCUGUGGACUUUGUAUUCUUGGCAUUAGCAUAGUGUCUAGUACAAAGUUGAGGCUUAAUAAAUAAUGGUAGAAGGAAUGAUGCAUUAGUUAAUUAAGCUACACAGAACAUAAAAUGAGCUUUCUGUAUUUUAGAAAGUAAUAUUCUUUUUACAUUAAAUUCCUAUUUUAUUUCAGCAUUUCUAGGUCUUAGGUCUGUAUCCCAUCACUACAAUCCGAAGACAGGAAUAGCUUGGGAUUUUUUUUUUUUUUCAGAUGUUUGUCAUGAUUAAAUAGUCUCUUAAAGAGUAUGGUAAAUAUUUUUAAAAGUUAGCUGAGGAUUAAUAUGAGAAUAGUUUAUUUUAGAUAUUUAAAAUACCUUAAAACAUUUUAAAGCAUCAAGUUGAUGCUUAAGGAUUCUUAUAUCUUCCUUCUCUUUUUGAAAGCCCUACAAAUUUGGUCUUUAAGACUUAAAAUUUUUAAAUUAAAUUAUUUUAACACAGUGGAGAGGAGAGAGACUUUUUGUACAUGAACAGAUAGAAAGAGGGAAAAAAGAGAUGGAUUGACAAAACUAUGUGGGUGUUUCUAUUUUCCAGUGAAUUAGAAGAGCUUGCAACAGCAGCAAAUUAUAGUCUUGAGGAAACUCUACUGUGGGUUUCUGAUGGAAAAUAAUAGACAGGAUUUACUUCCAGAUGGGAAACUGAGAGAUAGCUGUCUUGAUCUCUUCAUUUCAUAUAGGCUUUCUAAUUUUGUAUUGCUCUUGAAAAGUUUUACUUUUAAGAUACCAUUUCCACAACCUGAAAGAAUUCUGAGAUGAUACUGAAUACCAUUGCUUUUCCUUUACCUCCCUCAUUGUAUUGCAAGCAACUAAAUCUUAAAGUUGAGAUUUCUUUCCAAUUAGGGAAACUAAUGAGGAUGCAUACCUACAAUGAUCUCAGGGGUAUAAAUAUUGAUAUCUUAAUUACAGAGUUAGGUGACAGUAAUAUUAAUCAAUUAUAAAUUCAGGAAAAUUUGACUUAUCUAUAAAAAUACAUAAUAUUAAUCACUGAAUUAAUUAUAUAUAGAAAUGGUCCCCUCACUUGAAGAUAUAAGUAGCACUAGGAUUUCUUGUAGCUACUGACUUUUUUACUUGAUGCUGUAGGUGUUAUUGCUUUGAAGUUGUUGAAUACCAAUGAUGUCCAUCUGGACAAUUAUUUCUAAGCACCUAAUGUUGCUCUUCAUUUAUUUCAGAUAUUAUUUGGUAUGUUUCUUAGAAAACACCUUUUGGGCACUAUGUUAUGCUUCCUCAGCUUUAACAACCUUGUAUUGCCAUCAUGACUCAUCAUGGUACUUGUUCUACACCAGGUACUUGUUGUACCAGUAUAUACUAAAUAUUACAGGUUCAAUUUUUUUCCUUGUAAUUAAGAAUACGCAUUGCUGCUUAGACCAAAAAUAACCUCAGCGAUUAUAUUAAGUGUAAGUUGCUUAUUUAAUAGAUUAUAGGUCUGCUAGGACCAUCUUUUUUCUAAUCUUUUGUAUCUAUAGUUAUAGCACCUGAGAAAUAUUAAAAGAGCAGAGGAAUGUGCCAUAAAUUUAUUAUAGUGAUCUAUUCUUUGGCAGUGCUUUGACCUUACUAAGUUGUUCUCUCCUUAUAAAAUAGUAAAGCCUAAACAAAUUCCUUAAUUUCUGGAUUCUAUUGUAUCCAGUGCCUCACAGUAUAGCAGUUGAGUAUAUCUAAUCUUCAUAAGAUAAUGCUAUCAUUUUGAGGACUUUAUAUGGUAAGUAUUUAAUAUAUUACUUUCUUAAGUCAGCACAGAAGUAGACAAUAUUAGAUACCAUACUCAAAGAAAGACUUAUUAUUUGCCAUUUUGAGGAAAGUCCUAAUAAAAUAUAUUGAUUUACAUCGCACGUAUUUGCAAAGAGUGCUUUGCAAAUAGCAACAUACAUAAUUGUCUUAACAACCCAGUGAGAUAGAUUUUAUUUUUAACUCCAGUUUAUAGGUGUGGUGACUGAGGCAUAGAGAGGUUAAGUAACUUACCCAAGGUCACAACAGGAGGAGUCACAAUUUAAAAAAAAAAAAAAAAA
rnacentral:lncRNA from 1 species